GCAUCGAUGGGGUAGUGGUAACCUGGGUCGUUGCCAUUAGCCGUGCUGUAGAGAACUAAAUUCGUCGACCCGCCGGGGGUUCGAUUCCCUCUUGAUGCA